rnacentral:rRNA from 1 species
UACAGAGGCCCCAAGCGUUACUGAGAAUCACUGGGUUUAAAGGGUGCGUAGGUGGCGCGUUAAGUCCGUUGUGAAAUCCCUUGGCUCAACCAAGGAAUGGCUUCGGAUACUGGCGUGCUUGAGGUUGGUAUGGGUCACUGGAAUUUACGGUGUAGCGGUGAAAUGCGUAGAUAUCGGAAGGAACACCAGUGGCGAAAGCGGCUUCCUGGUCCAGCACCGACGUCAGGCACGAAAGCGUGGGGAGCAAACAGG